UGCUGUGUAAUCCCAGCGACUCCGGUCGAGGCAGGAGGACUACAAGAUCUUACUAGAUCUCUUCUGGCGUACUAGCUACAAUCGCUCUGACCUCAAUAUUGUACAAUUAAUGGUUAUGUGAAAUCCUGGAGUUUUCUGUGAUCUAAGUGGAAACAGAAAGUAGGUAUAGUUUGUUUUCUUGAUUGACAAUAUUAUUAAAAAUUUCCCCAAAAACUUCAUUUUAAAUUUUUAUCAAAAACUUAACUGUUUUAGAGUUUAACAUCUUAUAUCAAAGUUAAAAAAUAUAUUUAGAAUAUUUUGCCUUAUACCUAAAACUCAUAACAAUUUUAUACACUGUUUCCAUAAACAAGUGAAUCAUUUUUAAAAUGACUUCCUUUUGCCUGACCAUUCCAAAAGUCAAAUCUCCUACUGUGUAUUUGUGUUGUUAUAGGCAUACCAGCUAUUGUCAUAAAUUCUCCUCAUGCUAAUGGGGAAUAAUUGGAAACGGUUGGUUAUACAACAAGGACUUACCUGGAAGGUCAUAUUUGAGAAUGAUGUUUUUUUUUUUUUUUUCUUUUUUCCAGUGCUGGGGAUGGAACCUAGGGCCUCAAGCCUGCCAGUCAAGUACUCCACUACUGAAAUACACUCCCCGUCUGACAAUACUGCUCAUUUAAUCAGAUAUAACUAGAUCCUUUUAAGGAGCUGAGAUUGACUUUAUGGAGCUAGUGUUUACAAAGCCCUUUUGGGAAAACCAGCCUGGUAUCUGGCUUACAUCAUUCCCACAAUUUUGGAAUUGUAAUGAAGAUGACUUUCUGGCAGGCCAGAGACCUGAGGAUAUUCUGGGAAACUGAAGAAGAGAGGAGUUUUUCCAGAGCUAAGAGUACCUCACCAGGUCUGGUGGCAAGUUCCUAGCUUCUGGCCUUAAGUGGUUACUGAAAGCCCAGUCCAAUUUUUUUUUUUUUUAAUACAAGGAUUGAAACCAAGAGCAUUUAACCACAUCCAUAUCCCCAGCCCUUCUUAUUUAUUUAUUUUGAGACAGGGUCUCACAAAGUUACUUAGGUCCUUGCUAAGUUACUGAGGCCGGCCUUGAACUUGAAGAUCCUCCUGCCCCUGAGUUGCCAAUUUGAUAUCUUUAGGUAAACUUCCUACCAAACAAACUUUGAAGAGGCACACGCAUGUGAAGUGGGGGGAGAGAUGGAAGAUAGAAUCCACAGCUUUGUGUUAUCCAGACUGGCCUACUGCUUGUGACCCUUCUGCCUCAGACUCCCAAGUAUCUGGGGUUAUAGGCAUGCCCCACCACAUGAUGCCCAUCUGGUAAAUGUUCUUCCUAUGAAAAUAACUAGACUAAGUCUAAUCAGAGCAGUUUUAUUUUGUGGACCAGAAUAAGAAGAAUAAUCUGAAGGGCCCCAUGAUGCAGUCCUAUAAUCCCAGUGACAAGGGAGGCUGAGGCAGGAGAAUCACAAAUUCAAUCUCUGGUACCAAAAUCAUCAUCAUCAUCAUCAUCAUCAUCAUCAUCUUUCUUUGAGAUAAUUUUUUAUCAAAAUUGGGAGCCUGAAGGGAAAAUAUUGUUUUAAUGGAAAAUGGUGCAUUUAAUUCAUAGCACAUUAUGGAAGGUUAUUGAAUUUCAUUGUCUUUGAGCUACUUUGCAUCUGUUUGUAAAUUGCAGGUAACUGAUGGCUAUGCAAACUCUGUUUUGUCUGGCGGAGAUUUAAUUGACUCUACUGCCGACUCCACAGAUGGAAGAAUAUAGUCACACUUACAAUUAUCCUUUGCUAGAAAAAGCCUUUGCUUCCCUGAGUACACAGCCCUCAUUAAUCAUAUAAACUAGCAGCAUAAGGUUGAUUUACCCCAAAUUUACCUAAUCUGUAUCAUUGCCCUUCAAGACUGAUUUGGAUCAACAGAUUACCAGCUACCAGGUUUCCUCCAUCAUUUCCUCCCAAAGAUAAAAGGCAAGUGGUUCAUUUCUUUUUACAAAAGAAUUAAGAUGAUUUUCAGGAUCCUAAUCCACCAUCUUCUUAGUUAUGGCUUGAAUCUGGACUGUCUCCCUCAAACACUCAUGUGUUGAAAGUAUGCUUCUCAAUGCAGUAAGGUUCAGAGGUGGGGUUUAGACAAUGAUUGGAUCGUGAGGAUUCUGACCUCAUCCAGCAGUUAAUCAGUUUGAUGGAUCGAUCUGUUGAUAGCUGAAUGGACUACUGGGAAGUGGGACCUAGUUGGAGGAAGUAGGUCACUGGAGGUGUGCCCUGGAAGGGCUCCGGUCCUCCCACACCCCUCUACUUCUUGGCUGCCAUGAACUGAGCAGCUUUCCUCCAGGAUGCCCUUCCACCAUGAUGUUUCUGCCUUGGAGCCAGCUGACCAUGGACUGAAACUAUAAAACCAUGAGUGAAAAUAAAUCUUUCCUUCUCAAAGUUCUUGUUAGAUAUUUUGGUCACAACAAAGAAAAGUUGAUUAAUACAUUGAAUAAAUCUUUUUCCUGACCCCAACAAC
rnacentral:lncRNA from 1 species